rnacentral:sRNA from 1 species
AAAGAUAAAGAAAAAC